rnacentral:rRNA from 1 species
UACAGAGGUCCCAAGCGUUGUUCGGAUUCAUUGGGCGUAAAGGGUGCGUAGGUGGCGCCGUAAGUCAGGUGUGAAAUUUCGGAGCUUAACUCCGAAACUGCAUUUGAUACUGCGGUGCUUGAGGACUGGAGAGGAGACUGGAAUUUACGGUGUAGCAGUGAAAUGCGUAGAGAUCGUAAGGAAGACCAGUGGCGAAGGCGGGUCUCUGGACAGUUCCUGACACUGAGGCACGAAGGCCAGGGAGCAAACGGG